AACACAAGUAUAUUUCACUUGUAGGUAUAUUUCUAAAUUACAGUGUUUGAUUUAAGAGAAAGUAAACUGGAAACUCAACAAGCUCAAGGAAUUUUAGAGCAUCUAGUCCUUUAUUUUAAUUUAUAUUGGAAAUACGUUUAUCUAGACUUAUAUAGGAUACUAGAACUAUAAGAAGUUUAGAAAUGGAAAUAAAAGGACUAUGUAAAGUUCCCAUUGUGGCUCAGUGGUAAAGAACCUAACUAGUAUCCGUGGGAAUGGAGGUUCAAUUCCUGGCCUUGCUCAGUGGGUUAAGGAUCCAGCAUUGCUGUGAGCUGUGGUGUAGGUUUCAGAUGCAGCUUGAAUCUGGCAUUGCUGUGGCUGUAGCGUAGGCUGGCAGCUGAAGCUCCAAUUCAACCCCUAGCCCAGCAACUUCCAUAUGCUGCAGAUAUGACCCUAAAAAGAAGGGGAAAAAAAAAAAAAGGAUUAUGUAUAAGCAAGAAACUGGGGAAACAGAAAUCUCAGAGAGCCAAAACUGAAAAAGAAAGUACAAACUGAAUUGGUUGUACAUAUAUUAUAACAGAAAGGGGGCCAGUUUAUACUUAUAAGGGGAAAUGUACAAUCAGAAACCAUAGUUCCUCUGAAUAUUGAUGUCAUGCGUAGUCACAGAUGGAACAUUCUAUUUAAUUAUACUCACCUCAUGAUCCAAAAGACACCCAAGAAAAACUGAUAGUGAUAAAAAUGACUAAAUGUCAGAUGGGACUAAUAUUUGAGAAAAAGUGUGAGACCAAUUAUCAGUAGCUUCAGGGAAAAAAUUAUUUAUGUAUAUAUACUCUUAGAAGCUUCAAGUUCCCCUCAAUGAGAUUAAACCCAAAAGCCUCUGGCCUUGUCUCAUAGUAAUGCCCCUUCCCCCCACCUUGACCAGCCUAGCUGCUCACUUCCUACUAGAGAAGGAAUGUCGCCCAUUCCUCACCCCACCUCUAUAUAACCUGUUCCCCAUGCAAAUGAGGUAUUCUGCCCAAAACCAAUCAGAAGAUCCAAUAUGCUCCAUAAGAGAUCAAACAAUACUCAGUCCUUAUACCCGUUGUAGGGGGCUGGGCCAGGAGAAACUGGGUCUCCAUUCAGGUCCGCUGGGGGAGGGGGGGGAGAUGCUGGAUAUAAGAACAAAUCGUAAAAUCAGUCAGCUGUCUUUUUAACCUGUGCGCAUGUGAAUUCUCUCUUUCUCUCUCUGAAAAUGGACUUUCACCUGAAUAAAUUUUUUAAAUCUCUGCCAUUCCAGUGCUUUGCUACAGCCAGACAGGGAUGGAGGAAACUGUGACCCUAUCAGUUUAAGUUAGAGGAAACACAUAAAGGCAGGUAAUGGGACAAAACUGAAGACAGGAUAAAUGAUCAAGUGCCCUCACUAUAAGAAUAAGGAAAUAAUGUGAAAUUGUCAGGAUAAGUAAAUAUGUGACUAUGUAAAACUCUUGAAAAUCUGGCUGGAAAAACUGUCCUCAUAAUUUCCUUUACUUUAUUACUUGGGCCUCUGACUGCUCAUACAAAAUAUAGCUGUUUCAUAACAAUUUAAAUAAAUAAAACCAUGAAAGCUAUAUUAUUGCAGAUUUUAUUAGAUUCAAGCAUACUACUUUACAUUUCAAAAUUUUUAAUGAGUUUUAUAUACAUAUUUACAUAUGUAAAUUAUUUCCCAUAACAGAAAGUAGAGGUAAAUUAUUAAAUAGAUCUUCAGAUUACACUGAAAUGAAUUCAAAAAACUGUUGUCUGAUAGUGAGUUAUAUGCUUAGUGGAAUGCUGUUUGGAGUAUUCAGAUUCAGAGGUUAUGUGAUUGUUAUAAAUGUUUUUAAAAAUAAAUCUCAAAUGGGAGUUCCCGUCGUGGCGCAGUGGUUAACGAAUCCGACUAGAAACCAUGAGGUUGCGGUUCGGUCCCUGCCCUUGCUCAGUGGAUUAACUAUCGGGCGUUGCUGUGAGCUGCGGUGUAGGUCACAGACGCGGCUCGGAUCCCGCGUUGCUGUGGCUCUGGCAUAGGCCAGUGGCUACAGCUCCGAUUGGACCCCUAGCCUGGGAACGUCCAUAUGCUGCAGGAGAGGCCCAAGAAAUAGCAAAAAGACAAAAAAAAUAAAUAAAUAAAUCUCAAAUGACAUCAAAAAAGCACAGUUUUAUUAUCUUUAUAACAUGUAAGAGAUUGGUUAUAAUGCACUUAUAGUCUUUACAUGUGGAAUUAUCGUAUUAGUAUGGAUUUACAUACAUGUUUAAAUUAUGCUGUUUAAAUACAACUGAUUUUAUUCCAAAGGUUACAUUUGAAAUAACAGAUACGUUAUGAAAUGACAAAGACCUACAUUUCUUUUCAGGUCUUUUUUCUUAAUUAUCUUCAUUUUUAGAUGGUUAGACUACUGUAACAUGCAGGUAGUAUGGAACAAUGUAUUCUAUCAAAAAAUAUAUGACCGGAGUUCCUGUUGUGGACCAGUGGGUUAAGAACAUGACUAGUAUCCAUGAGUAUGCGGGUUUGAUCCCUGGCCUUGCUCAGUGGGUUAGGAUCCAGCAUUGCCACAAGCUGUGGCAUAUGUAGCAGAUGUAGCUUGCAUUGCUGUAGCUCUGGUGUAGGCUGGCAGCUGCAGCUCCGAUUGGACCCCUGGCCUGGGAACUUCCAUAUGCUGCAAGCGCAGCCCUAAAAAAAGGGACUAAAACAAACAAUUCAUUUUCCAAUAUACUUAGUUGUCCUAAAGUUCACUGGACAAAUGAUCUUUUUUUAAAUGAGUUUUCUUAUGUAACACUGUAGUCUAAAUAGAUUGAGCAGUAGCUUAGGGAUAUAUUCUUUCCACUAGGAAACACUCACUGAGAAUGAGGGCAAAGAACACAAGUGUGGGAAUGGUUUUACUCUUCAUGUACAAAAGGAAGAGUAAAUAAAAUAUGCUUGAGCUCAACGUAAUAUACUAGUUUUAUAAUUUUGUGCAUCGUGUGAAAAAUUCUCUUGCUGUUAAAUCUUAAUACUUUAAUAUUAUCCUUGAAUUCAUUCAGUAUCCUAUCUUUCAGUACCCAAACAGAAACUGAGUUGGUUAUUAAUUCUCUGUAAUUACAGACAAAUUUUAUAGAAUGGUCAUUAUUUACAUUGCCUUGCAUUCUCAAAUAAAUGUGAAUUUAUUACAUUAUUGUAACAUUAUAAUUCACUACUAAAUGCAAAUAUAUCUGUACAUUAAAAAUAUAAUUCUACAGCACUGCAAUCUAAAGAUAGGAUCAUCAAUUUAUUUUCUACUCAAAACAGGAAAUUUCAUUUUUCAUUAAAUCCCCAUCAAAGUGAAUGAAGGGUAUUAGUAAAAUCCAAUAGUUAAAAUCCCUUGAGUGUGUUUGGUAAUUUAGUUAAGUACUGUUAUGUAGAUAAACUAUAAAUUAUACAAAGAGGAAAAAAAAGCUGUGUGUAUGAUGUAUGGUAGGAUGGGAAUAUUGAAGAAUGUCAUGGGCACAAAUUAAGAGCCAGUGAACCAAGACAUAUACAGUAUUAUGUGGUCUGUCUAUGGACUAGUUCACACUAUCAAAGGUAUAAAUGAAGAAUAAAAAUCAUUCCUCUCUCACUAGGGAAGCCAAGGCCUUUUUUCCUCCUUUUUUUCUUUUGUUUUAUUAUUAUUAUUGUUAUUAUUUUUGGCUAUGCCAGAAUAUGGAAGUUCCUGGGUCAGGGACUGAACUCAUGCCACAGCAGUGACCCAAGACACAACAGUGAGAACCCCCAAUACUUAAACCAACUGACCCAUCAGGAAAUUCUCUUUUUUAUUUUUAUUUACGUAUUUAUUUAUUCUUUUUAUACCCUUACCUGCAGCAUAUGGAAGUUUCUGGGCUAGGGGUCAAAAUGGAGCUGCAGCUAUAGGCCUGCGCCACGGUAACACUGGAUCCAAGCCUCAUCUGUGACCUCUAUCACAGCUUGCAGGCUAUGCUGGAUCCUUCACCCACUGAGCAAGGCCAGGAAUCGAACCCACAUCCUCACCAAGCUAUGUUGGGUUCUUAACCCACUGAGCCACACUGGGAACUCCAUCUCUUUUAUUUUUUAAGGAUAGCAGUCAAAUUAUACUUCAAUUAUCUCAUAAUUUAUGUCUAGAAUAAUAAGGACACGGGCUUACAAAGCAUUGAAAAGCUGAUUAUUCAGUUAACAAAUUCAACAAUUUUCCUAGGAUCAUUAAUGAAUGGUCACAGGGUAUUAGAUACUACUAUAUAUUUCUUUUUGCCAGAGGGAAGGUGUGCAAUCUUACCAUUAAAAUAUAGAAGCUGGAAUACCACUAGCCAGAGUCACUGAAUCAAAUCAAUAACACAUGAAAUCAAACAUCCAAUCAAUGAAGGUAAGAAUUUAAGUAUCAGCUGUAUUCCAGGCACUAUCAUAUAUGCAGGGGAAAACAAACAGACACAAUAUAUGUCUAGAGUUUGUCAAUAUUCUUAGUUUAGAAGGGACACAGGAGUUCCUCUGUGGCUCAACAGGUUAAGGGUCUGGCAUUGUCACUGCUAUGCCUUGGAUUGCUGCUGUGGUGCAGGUUCCAUAAGCCAGGCUCCACAAGCCAUAGGCCUGGCCCAAAAGAAAACAGGAGAAGAAAAGACACACAAACCUGUGCACUGCUACAUAACUACCAUUACAGUUAUAGAGAAAAUGCACUGUGGAACCAAAAAGGAAAAAGCUACUACAUUAUUUCUGUCUGGUGAACUCCAGAAAUAUUUCACCUAUGAACAUGCAUUAAAAAUAUGAGUUUACUAGUGGUCUGGGUACCAAGCUAUGCGGACCGCGUCUCAGCGUCUUAGCGUCUGGGUUCUUUCUACCUGGCUGAGGCUCUCCAGUGGGAAAUAGGAGUCAGAGAAUAAUGUUUAAAAAUAUAUAUAUAUAUGAGUUUACCAGAGAGAGGGAAUAUAUUUGGGAGAGAGGGAAUAUAUUUGGAAGAGAGGGAAUAUAUUUGGUCAUUCCACUCAGAGAGGAAAAUGUGAAAUGAUGGAGUUGUGAGAAGUUCCUAUACACAUCCUUUCACAUAAGCAUUCAACUGCUUUUUGUUUUGUUUUGUUUUUUUUAAUAACUCCCUUUCUGAAAAGCACUCAGCUGUCAAAGGGGGAAACACUGAAAUAUAGAUGCUCAACCUUCUUUCCUGAUGGCAACAGUCUGGCAGGAAGGACAGACAUUGGAUAAUAGUAACGGUAAUUUUUAAAGGGAAAAUGGAGUAUAGAAGAGGCUUUAAAAAGUAGGAUUUUGGUCAAUGGAAAGGGAAUUUGGUGAGGAAGAGAGGUGUGUGC
rnacentral:lncRNA from 1 species